AUUAAAGUUUUUUCGCAUAUGCCAUAAUUUGAAUUUUUGAAAAUUGUGAAUAUAAACUGUUCAAUACAUGAAAAAAUAUUAUAACGGGUGAAAAAUAGAUUUAAGAAAACUUUCUACUGAGUAAGGGUCAUAUUUAAAAUAUUUAUAUUCAAUUUCAUACAUAUUAUAUUGAAAAUUUAUAAUCUUAUAUAGUACAAUAAUUAAUAACAUAUUAGAUUUUUUUAUGUGUAUGAUGUGAUUCAAUUUUUAAUACAAGCUGGAAAAUCCUAGAAUUGACGGGUUUAGAUCGAUAUUAAUACAAGAUGGUAUACUACAGGUGAACUCUUAAAUUAACAAUCAAACUACAAGUGUAUAAUCUUAAACACUAAACAAUAUAGAUAAUAUCAACAAAACAUAUACAACUCACAGUUUACUUUUAAUAUUUUAUAUACAAAAUUAAUUAAAUCUUAAUUAAAUCUUAAUCACAUAAAAAUUAGCACAAAAAAGUAUUCAACAAUUAAAAAUUUAUCAAAUCUCUGUGUUAUAUAAGUUUUGAUACUAUAUUCGAAUAAAGUGUAAUAUAC
rnacentral:sRNA from 1 species